AGAAAUGGACGAGAUCGGCAUCCCUUUGGUUAACUGCUGUUGAAGGUGAUCUCAAUUUCAAGGCGCUUUCAUCCACAAAACUAAUGUUAUCAUUAGCAGGAUUUGUUCCCAAAUAUAGGAAAAGAUGAUUGUUGCCAAGUCCUACAUCACCAUAUUCCAUCACAUGAGAACCAUAGUAUGCACCAUUGAUAGUCCUAUCCUUAACCUGUAACCACAUGACCAAAUAAUGCAUCACUUACACAACUCCUAAAGUUUCUAAUGUGUAAUUCAGCAAUCAAGGUAUUGAAUUACAUUCUUAAAUUUAUAUUAGUUGAUUUAAAAUAAAUCAAAUCAAGUCAGUGACAAGAACUUACCAAUUUAUAUUGCUGCUGCAAACUUUCAGUUCGCAAAUUGUGUACGUCGCUGCUCAUAAGUGAAACAAAAAUCAAAUUAGUAACAAGAAAAUCUUAUGAUCUAGUGAUAAAUCAAAUGCAUCAAAUUAAUCUUAUUUCUGAUGUAACUUUGUCCUUCUAAUGCACAUACCUGUCUUCCAUCCAAGCAAUGCUGUAUAGGUCACCCAAGCAGGUUGAGUACUCCGGGGGAGGGGGAGGGUACUCGCCAGGGCAAUAUGUUCCCCAACUGCUUUCUUCUGCAUUCGAAGCUGUUGUCGCGUAGAUAUUGAUAUCUUCUGGUAGAAGGCCUUCAAAGAUACUCCCAGAUUCACAUGCCUCGAGAUAAAAUACCUGCACCACCAUUACAUAAAUAAAUAAAUAAAAAACUGAGGAUUAGCAUAGUUUGUUUAGCAAGAAAUAAACAAAUCCAAACAUGCUAGCCUUAAACAGGACAAACCGGGAUUUAAAUGAAAAGAACACGAAAUCGGCUAUUACUAAGGACUUACUAGGCUCUUAUAUCCUCCAGAAGCAUGCUUUUUCUUUAAGACUUCAUUCAGAUCAGAUGCAUACAGGUAAGGACCAACAGGCAUACCUGAAGAGACCAAAUAAGAACAAAACAAACACUUUGUCAAAAUCAUGCAAAUUAACAACACAAUUCAAUCAAACAAACGUUUCUGUGAAAAUAAUUCAAAAUUACUUACCAAGAACACCAGGACCUCCAUGAUCAGUGUAGUAUACAAAAAUAUGAUCAUUGGGGCCACUAUCCACAACUUUCCCACUCCCACCUGUAAGAGCUGAUUUAUUUCCAAGUAAAGCUGCAUAGAAGUUGUCAGCAUGUACUUCUGCACCAGUGUAAUCCUGUCAUAAAACAAGUUCUUAUUAGAAGAUAAUCAUACUAGUAUUGGUACAUGAUAUAGCAAUAGAUAUGGGAUGCCUAAAAACUCGGCACACUGACAUUCUAUGAAGCAUGGACACUCCUCGGAUUAUGCGUGUUGCGGUGUCUGACACCGACACUUAUAUGAUUACAUUGAAUUAUGUCAUUUUCUUAAAUUAUUAUCGGUGUCGACAUGUUAGUGUCCGGUGUUCGUGCUUUAUAGCUGAGACUACACAUGACACUGACACGUAAACACUAGUAAAAAUUUAAUAUUUAAUAAAUAAAAGUUAUUGAAUGUAACCACAUGGAUACUACAUGUGUCGGAUAUUAGACAUGUCUUCAAUCUGAAGCGUCUGUGCUACGAUUGCUAAAAACUAAACACCGACUAAUUUACCUUUGGAACUCCUUCAUAAACAUCACCACCAUCUGGCUUGUUAAUUAUGACACCAGGCCUUGGAUUCUCGUAAUUGGAAGCAAUGUCAUCAUACAUGAAAACAAUAAUGUUUUCAUCUUUUAAGCCACCUUUCUUCAAUAUUUGAUAUGCAUGGCAAACAUCAGCCUG
rnacentral:lncRNA from 1 species